rnacentral:rRNA from 1 species
CUUUUGGAGAGUUUGAUCCUGGCUCAGAACGAACGUUCGCGGCGCGCUUAACACAUGCAAGUC